rnacentral:tRNA from 1 species
UCCCUGGUGGCUCAGACGGUAAAGCAUCUGUCUACAAUGCAGGAGACCCAGGUUCAAGCCCUGGGUUAGGAA